rnacentral:rRNA from 1 species
AACGAACGCUGGCGGCAUGCCUAACACAUGCAAGUCGAACGAGACCUUCGGGUCUAGUGGCGCACGGGUGCGUAACGCGUGGGAACCUGCCCUUAGGUUCGGAAUAACUCCCCGAAAGGGGUGCUAAUACCGGAUAAUGUCUUCGGACCAAAGAUUUAUCGCCUUUGGAUGGGCCCGCGUUGGAUUAGCUAGUUGGUAGGGUAAAAGCCUACCAAGGCGACGAUCCAUAGCUGGUCUGAGAGGAUGAUCAGCCACACUGGGACUGAGACACGGCCCAGACUCCUACGGGAGGCAGCAGUGGGGAAUAUUGGACAAUGGGCGAAAGCCUGAUCCAGCAAUGCCGCGUGAGUGAUGGAGGCAUUAGGGUUGUAAAGCUCUUUUACCCGGGAUGAUAAUGACAGUACCGGGAGAAUAAGCUCCGGCUAACUCCGUG